rnacentral:rRNA from 1 species
UACGUAGGGGGCAAGCGUUGUCCGGAAUCAUUGGGCGUAAAGAGCGUGUAGGCGGCCAGAAAAGUCCGCUGUGAAAACUCGAGGCUCAACUUCGAGCCGUCGGUGGAAACUUUCUGGCUAGAGUCCGGAAGAGGAGAAUGGAAGUUCCGUGGUGUAGCGGUGAAAUGCGCAGAUAUCAGGAAGAACACCCGUGGCGAAGGCGGUUCUCUGGGACGGUACUGACGCUGAGACGCGAAAGCGUGGGGAGCGAACAGG